rnacentral:rRNA from 1 species
UACGAAGGGGGCUAGCGUUGUUCGGAUUUACUGGGCGUAAAGCGCACGUAGGCGGAUCGUUAAGUCGGGGGUGAAAUCCUGGAGCUCAACUCCAGAACUGCCUUUGAUACUGAGGAUCUUGAGUCCGGGAGAGGUGAGUGGAACUCCGAGUGUAGAGGUGAAAUUCGUAGAUAUUCGGAAGAACACCAGUGGCGAAGGCGGCUCACUGGCCCGGUACUGACGCUGAGGUGCGAAAGCGUGGGGAGCAAACAGG